UGGCGGGCUCCCCUCCCCCAGCCUCGCUGCUGCCUUGCAGUUUGAUCUCAGACUGCUGUGCUAGCAAUCAGCGAGACUCCGUGGGCGUAGGACCCUCCGAGCCAGGUGUGGGAUAUAGUCUCGUGGUGCGCCGUUUUUUAAGCCCGUCGGAAAAGCGCAGUAUUCGGGUGGGAGUGACCCGAUUUUCCAGGUGCGUCCGUCACCCCUUUCUUUGACUCGGAAAGGGAACUCCCUGACCCCUUGCGCUUCCCAAGUGAGGCAAUGCCUCGCCCUGCUUCGGCUCGCGCACGGUGCGCGCACCCACUGACCUGCGCCCACUGUCUGGCACUCCCUAGAGAGAUGAACCCGGUACCUCAGAUGGAAAUGCAGAAAUCACCGUCUUCUGCGUCGCUCACGCUGGGAGCUGUAGACCAGAGCUGUUCCUAUUCGGCCAUCUUGGCUCCUUAUUCUCAUUACCUUCUUGAGUUGUGGCUCAGACACUACAACAGAGCUCUGUCACCUCUUUCUAAAAGCUGGGAAAUGGUUAUUGUCAACGCCAGCCCCAUUUUGGAGGCACCUGGUUGCAGGGGACCACAGCUAGACCCGAGUCAUCCCUGGAGUCUCACACUUGAUCUUAGCCAAAAGGCCGAGAAGCGAUCAUCCCUGGAGUCUCUCUGAAUCUGCCGUGAUCCUGGGGGCUGCCCGAUUCGUGCAUUGUUCAUUGCUCAAUUAAACUCCUUUAAAUUUAA
rnacentral:lncRNA from 1 species